GAGGUGAUUAUGGGUGGUUAAUGAGGUGACUGUGGGUGGUUAAUGAGGUGACUAUGGGUGGUUAACAAAGUGACUGUGGGUAGUUAAUGAGGUGAUUAUGGGUGGUUAAUGAGGUGACUGUGGGUGGUUAAUGAGGUGAUUAUGGGUAGUUAAUGAGGUGACUGUGGGUGGUUAAUGAGGUGACUGUGGGUAGUUAAUGAGGUGACUAUGGGUGGUUAACAAAGUGACUGUGGGUAGUUAAUGAGGUGAUUAUGGGUGGUUAAUGAGGUGACUGUGGGUGGUUAAUGAGGUGACUGUGGGUAGUUAAUGAGGUGACUGUGGGUAGUUAAUGAGGUGACUGUGGGUAGUUAAUGAGGUGGCUAUGGGUGGUUAAUGAGGUGACUGUGGGUAGUUAAUGAGAUGAUUACGGGUGGUCAGUUAGUCGAUUACGGGUGGCUAACGAGGUGACUCGGG